CGCGCUGGGGGCAGGGAUCUGCCCAGCCCGGAGACCUUCUCGGCUGCACAUUACACGGGAAAUAGUGCAAGAAGACACGGUGACGCGUGAUGGAGCCAUGCCCUCCCGGAGAUGGCAGAACACUUGUGUUAUAUAUGUAUUUCGUGCACAAUUAAAUUGUAACAAUAUUAGCAAAAUUGUUGCUUUAUAAUUAAUAGAAAAAUUGUACUUAAUUGUACUUAAUUGUUACAAAGCAAAAUGGGAUAAAGGAAAUGGUUAAACAAAGCAGAUAGAAUCAUCCUCCAGAUGUUUGGUGGGAGUGAGGAUAGUAAGGGUAUAGGUCUAAGAACAGCAUCUAAAAAUAAAACUUUCGACCUUGAA